AACGAACGCUGGCGGCAGGCCUAACACAUGCAAGUCGAACGCCGUAGCAAUACGGAGUGGCAGACGGGUGAGUAACGCGUGGGAACAUACCCUUCGGUUCGGAAUAACUCAGGGAAACUUGGGCUAAUACCGGAUACGUCCGAGGUUUAACGACUUCGGAGAAAGAUUUAUCGCCGAAGGAUUGGCCCGCGUCUGAUUAGCUAGUUGGUGAGGUAACGGCUCACCAAGGCGACGAUCCGUAGCUGGUUUGAGAGAAUGACCAGCCACACUGGGACUGAGACACGGCCCAGACUCCUACGGGAGGCAG
rnacentral:rRNA from 1 species